CAGACUCUGAGGAAGAGUUUGUCCCUAAUUCAUUCUUAGUUAAAAGUGGCUCCGCCAGCCUGGGGGUCGCGGCGAACGUUGGGAAAUUCAGCUCCUAACCAACUCAUCACCAGAAACACAGUGGCAGACAGCUGUUAGGGCCGAACAUUAUCAUCAUCAUAAUACCUAUCACGGAGUGAACCCCUGCUAUGUGCCAGGCACUGUCCAGGCAUCUUCACUAAGAUUACAGCCUUUGACACUCACUACAGUCUAAUACAGUGUAAUUUCUUGCCUUCAUUUUCUAGUGGAGGAGAGAAAAUGGGAUUUCCCCAAAGAUGUACUGCUGUAAGUGGUAGAAUCAAG
rnacentral:lncRNA from 1 species